rnacentral:rRNA from 1 species
UGGGGAAUUUUGCACAAUGGGGGAAACCCUGAUGCAGCGACGCCGCGUGAUUUAGAAGGCCUUCGGGUUGUAAAAAUCUUUUCUAUGGGAAGAAAAUGACAGUACCAUAGGAAUAAGGACCGGCUAAUUACGUGCCAGCAGCCGCGGUAAUACGUAAGGUCCGAGCGUUGUCCGGAAUCAUUGGGCGUAAAGGGUGCGUAGGCGGGUAAGCAAGUUAGAAGUGAAAUCCUAUAGCUCAACUAUAGUAAGCUUUUAAAACUGCUCAUCUUGAGGUAUGGAAGGGAAAGUGGAAUUCCUAGUGUAGCGGUGAAAUGCGCAGAUAUUAGGGGGAAUACCGGUGGCGAAGGCGACUUUCUGGCCAUAACCUGACGCUGAGGUACGAAAGCGUGGGUAGCAAACAGG